CCGAUGAUAGCUCAGCUGGUAGAGCAUGGGACUGUAGCAAGAAAAAUCUGUCAUCCUGUGGUCGGCGGUUCGAUUCCGUCUCAUCGGA
rfam:Naegleria gruberi genomic scaffold NAEGRscaffold_35, whole genome shotgun sequence.